rnacentral:lncRNA from 1 species
UUUUUUUUUUUUUUUUUUUUUUUUUUUUUGCUUUUUAGGGCCACACCUGUGGCAUAUGGAGUUUCCCAGGCUAGGGGUCCAAUCAUAGCCACCGACCUACGCCACAGCCACAGCAAUGCCAGAUCUGAGCUGUGUCUGCAGUCUACACCACAGCUCACAGCGAAGCCAGAUCCUUGACCCACUGAGCAAGGCCAGGGAUUGAACCACAUCCUCAUGGAUCAUACUUGGGUCCAUUAACCACUGGCCACAACGGGAACUCCUUUGAUAUUUUUUUAAGUGACUUUUUCUUUUCCCCUUCAUAAUAUUUGAUACACACAUAAACCAUUAACAGGUCCGAGUUUUAAAUAAAUACACAGAAUGCAUUUUCUCACCUCAAUGUUUUCACAUCAUUCUAAAAAUAAACUAUAAGAAACUAGAGCAGUUUAUAUUUUGGGGGAUCACAGUGUGUUUAAAAUUCAAGAAAUAGGGUUUAUUUUAAAAAUUUUUUUUUAAUUUUUAAAUCCAUACUAAUUGACUUCUAAACAUGCCAACUUCUUAGUAGUCCUGAGCAUAAAUAUUAGGUGCAGGAAUCGUGUCAACUUCAUCUCUGAGUUUUGUGACUUUUCUUGUUUCUGCCAUCAUUCCCCAAUGCUCACAUACCUUUUGAAGUGAAAUUGGGCCCAACUUUGUCUCCAUGGAUAAGUCUCCCACUAGGACUGAUAGAGACUGGAUUAUGUCCUAACGUUGCAGUCCACAGAGGAAGUUCUAUUUUUCUAAGUUCUAAUAGAAAACACGGUCUUGAGUGUUUUCUUCAAAGCUGUGAGAUCAUUCCCAUAGCCAGGGAAUUGCCAGAUAGAAUUGUUUAUUAAUAAAGAUAUUCCAUAGCUUAGAUAUACAAGCUGCAUAACCGGGCACCAAUACAGCAUAUGUUCUCUCACCUUUUUUUUUUUAAUUGAAGUGUAGUUGAUUUAUAACCUGUGUUGGUUUCAAACAUACAGCAAAAUGAUUCAGUUAUACAUUUAUUUUUUACAUUAUAGGUUAUUGUAAAACAUUGACUACAGUUCCCUGUGCUAUACAGUAGGUCCCUGUUAAUUAUCUAUUUUAUAUACAGUAGCACAUAUUCAUUAGUCCCAAAUUCCUAAUUUCUCUCUCCUCCCACCUUUUCCCUUUGAUAACUGUAAGUUUGUUUUCUGUGUCUGUGGGUCUAUUUCUGUUUUUUAAAUAGGUUCAUUUGUUAUUUUUUUUAGAGUCCACAUAUAAAUGAUACCAUAUUAUAUUCGUCUUCGAUUUACUUCAUUUCAUAUCAUAAUCUCUAGGUCCAUCCAUGUUGAUGCAAAUGGUGUUAUUUCAUUCUUUUUUAUGGCUAGUAUUCCAUUGUAUUUCUUCCUAAACCAAUCAUGUGUUGAUGGGCACUUAGGUUGCUUCCAUGUUCUUAGCUAUUAUAAACAGUGUUGCUAUGAACACUGUUUUAAUAGCUGAUAUAUUUUCAAAUUAGAGCUUUCAUCUUUUUCAGAUAUAAACCCAAUAGUGGGAUCGCUGGACAAUAUGGCUAUUCUAUUUUUAAUUUUUUAAGGAACCUCCAUACUGUUCUUCACAGUGACUACACCAAUUUAUAUUCCUACCAACAGUGUAGAAGGAUUCCUUUUUCUCCACACCCUCUUCAGCAUUUACUAUUUGCAGACUUUUUGAUGAUGGCCAUUCUGACAGAUAUGAGGUAAUACCAAAUUGUAGUUUUGAUUUGUAUUUCUUUAAUAAUUAGCAAUGUUGAGCAUCUUUUCAUGAACCUGUUGGCCAUCUGUAUGUCUUCUUAGGAAAAAUGUCUGUUUAGGAUCUCUGCCAAUUUCUUAUUGAUUUUUCGCUUUUUGAUAUUGAGCUGUAUGAACUGUUUGUAUAUUUUGGAAAUGAAUCCCUUAUCAGUCUCAUUGUUUGAAAAUACUUUCUCCCAUUUCAUAGGUUGUCUUUCUUUGUUGUUUGUUUAUUCUUUUUUUCUCAAGCAGCACUCUAAGUACAAGAAACGGAUAAAAUGAACAUGGAAUAGUCCAGGAAUCCUUUGAUGAAGACAGAUGCAAAAGCAAAUACUCUACAAUAAUUACAGUAAUUAAUAAAUGCAACUCCUUAGUUGUGGAUGAAUUGCUAGAAGAGCUAGAAAGAUUGUCCAUUAAUAGAAAGAAAUCAAUCUUAUUAUUAAUCACUUGUGAACAAAAACAAAGUCAAAGAUAUAAUACCGAACCUUUCUUUUCUUCUUCUAAUUAGAAAACGCUCAGUCCCUUUAGGGUCCUUUUCAGAUGUCCAUUAGAUGUCUCUCUCUCCUUAGCUGUUUUUCCCCCUAUUCUUUCUGCCUGCAUUUUUCAAGGUCUUUUCAAUCUUUCUUAAUCUUUCUGCAAGGUACUGGCACCAGACUGGAAAGAUGGCAAUAGAUCCUUAUUGGCCUAAAUACAAGGAAGUGGUAGUCCUUAGAAUUCUCCACAAUGGAGAAGCUAUAACAUUAAUCUUUCUUUAGCAGUGUACUUCUGCACUGAGAUUUCCCAUACUGUCUUGUGAAGUUUCUUUAUAUAAAAUUGUUCCAACAUUGAUGGGCAAAACCUAGUAAUGUGAAAAAUGAUCAAGUGCAUGGAUUCGGAGCCAGACUGCCUGGGUUUGAUACACUGCUCUGAUAUUAUUUAAUACUCCUUUCCUUAUAACCUUGGUUGAGUAUUAAAUUAAUUGGUAAUGUGUUAGGAGCAAAGACAAAAUGAAAAGCCAAGAGUGAGAGGGGAAUUGCAAACCUCAUCCUGCCAUAGACCAUGGAAACCAGGGGAGUGAGGCACACCGGCUUUGUGCUAAACCACUGUCCUGGUGCUAUUGCCUCCAGAUUCCCUUUUGUCUGGGAGAAAUUCCUGCUUUUAUGGUCUCCAAAAAGAUACCCCCUAGGACCACCAUCCCACCAGAGUAAUCCUCACAGAAUUUGUGCUGGCAGGUUGAUGCAGCCUUCUCAAGUCACAUCAAGGUGGAGAACUGGCUCACCCUCUCCCUCUAGCCUGGUUUUCCUUGCCAGGUGCUUGGAUUCUUUUCCCAUGAUGCAGUUUGACAGGUUCGGAGAGCCAAGGAGUCUAGCCUCUGACCUCUCAUCUUUGCAUGGUGCUAGAAUUCCUUGUUGCCUUUCAUGCCUCCCUCACUCUAGUAGAUCCUCCAUCUUGCUUAACCAUUUUGCCAGCUGAAGUUGAACUAACCAGAUUCUAUUUCAGUUCUGUGGACCCCAAGGAGCAAUUCCAUGUACGUGGUUUCCUUAUCCAGGGAUAUAUAACUGACCUAUCACAGGCUUGGCCAUGAGAAUCUAAGGACACCAUCAAUGCUAGUGCAGUGCCAGUGGGUUUACUCAGUUAAUGCAGGCAUAUUUCCAUAAACCUAAUGAGAGGGAAGUGUCAGGGAAGAGGGUAUAUAUCUUUCCUUCCUCCUUUAGCUGGGUGAAUGUUUCUAAAAUUAGGACCCCAUCCUUAUUCUUUUGAAAACUUUUUUUUGUAACCUUUCUUAAGGUUUGGAGUUCUCACUUGGGUAUUGCCUCCAUUAGACAUUCACAAUAUAGCUCCUAGCUAAGAACAUUAGAUCCUAGGAAAACAAACAAAAACAAGAAA